rnacentral:rRNA from 1 species
GACGAACGCUGGCGGCGUGCUUAACACUUGCAAGUCGAACGGAAAGGCCCUGCUUUUGUGGGGUGCUCGAGUGGCGAACGGGUGAGUAACACGUGAGUAACCUGCCCUUGACUUUGGGAUAACUUCAGGAAACUGGGGCUAAUACCGGAUAGGAGCUCCUGCUGCAUGGUGGGGGGGGGAAAGUUUCGGCGGUUGGGGAUGGACUCGCGGCUUAUCAGCUUGUUGGUGGGGUAGUGGCUUACCAAGGCUUUGACGGGUAGCCGGCCUGAGAGGGUGACCGGCCACAUUGGGACUGAGAUACGGCCCAGACUCCUACGGGAGGCAGCAGUGGGGAAUAUUGCACAAUGGGCGGAAGCCUGAUGCAGCAACGCCGCGUGCGGGAUGACGGCCUUCGGGUUGUAAACCGCUUUCGCCUGUGACGAAGCGUGAGUGACGGUAAUGGGUAAAGAAGCACCGGCUAACUACGUG